UACGUAGGGUGCGAGCGUUGUUCGGAGUUACUGGGCGUAAAGGGUGUGUAGGCGGUUGUUUAAGUUUGGUGUGAAAUCUCCCGGCUCAACUGGGAGGGUGCGCCGAAUACUGAAUGACUUCGAGUGCGGGAGAGGAAAGUGGAAUUCCUGGUGUAGCGGUGAAAUGCGUAGAUAUCAGGAGGAACACCGGUGGUGUAGACGGCUUUCUGGACCGUAACUGACGCUGAGACACGAAAGCGUGGGUAGCAAACAGG
rnacentral:rRNA from 1 species